rnacentral:rRNA from 1 species
CCCUUAGAUGUUCUGGGCCGCACGCGCGCUACAAUGAUGAAUUCAACGAGUUUAUAACCUUGGUUGAAAAGCCUGGGUAAUCUUUUGAACUUUCGUCGUGAUGGGGCUAGACCCUUGCAAUUAUUGGUCUCCAACGAGGAAUUCCUAGUAAACGCAAGUCAUCAGCUUGCAUUGAUUACGUCCCUGCCCUUUGUACACACCGCCCGUCGCACCUACCGAUUGAAUGGUCCGGUGAAUAAUUCGGACUGCAGCAGUGUUCAGUUCCUGAACGUUGCAGCGGAAAGUUUAGUGAACCUUAUCACUUAGAGGAAGGAGAAGUCGUAACA